rnacentral:rRNA from 1 species
GAUGAACGCUGGCGGCGUGCCUAAUACAUGCAAGUCGAGCGAACAGACGAGGAGCUUGCUCCUCUGACGUUAGCGGCGGACGGGUGAGUAACACGUGGAUAACCUACCUAUAAGACUGGGAUAACUUCGGGAAACCGGAGCUAAUACCGGAUAAUAUAUUGAACCGCAUGGUUCAAUAGUGAAAGACGGUUUUGCUUUCACUUAUAGAUGGAUCCGCGCCGCAUUAGCUAGUUGGUAGGUAACGGCUUACCAAGGCAACGAUGCGUAGCCGACCUGAGAGGGUGAUCGGCCACACUGGAACUGAGACACGGUCCAGACUCCUACGGGAGGCAGCAGUAGGGAAUCUUCCGCAAUGGGCGAAAGCCUGACGGAGCAACGCCGCGUGAGUGAUGAAGGUCUUCGGAUCGUAAAACUCUGUUAUUAGGGAAGAACAAAUGUGUAAGUAACUAUGCACGUCUUGACGGUACCUAAUCAGAAAGCCACGGCUAACUACGUG